ACAGGCGUAGCUCAAUGGAUAAGAGUAUCGGAUUUCUGAUCCGGCGGUUAAGGGUUCAAGUCCCUUCGCCUGUA
rnacentral:tRNA from 1 species